rnacentral:lncRNA from 1 species
GGGGGGGGUAAUCCUGUUCCCAUUCUGGUUCUAGAGGGAAUGGGCCAAUUCCUACUCUCUCCUAGAAAGUAAUCUAGGGUAAUGAUUUACAGGUGUUGUCUGGCAUAGAAAGUAAGAUCAACAGUUCAAACAUAAUAAUUCCCAUGGUAAUCUCCACUUUGGCAAAUGACCUAGAAAGAGUGAUGAAAAUGGAAACAGGAUAGGAGUAAUGCCACCAAUGUGUGAAGAAAGAGUACUCCAUUUGUAGAAACAGGUGAAACAUCACGACUUGCAUAAUGGGGAGACUCUUGGGAAGUAAGACUCCACCCCCAUUUGAAAAAACUGAUAUAUUUACAAAAUUACCUUUUAUAUGAGAGAGACUUUAGCCAUGAACAACUCUCUAUAUACUUUUCCCUUUCAGGAAGCAAGUCCAUCAUUUCCAUGAUUCCUUUUUAGGAGUUGCUCCUCCCUCUUUUUCUUUUCUCUCUUCCUCUUAUUCCCAAGAUUUUUACACUCUUUCACCUUUUGCUUUUUGAUCCCAUGCAUAGGGGACUCACGUGCAGUGUGCUAAAUACUAGUUUGAAAAAAAUGAAAUUUUGGGGAAGUGCUGGGAAAUUUGGUUGCGGUCUUUAGGCUCUUCUUGUGCACAUAAUCAUGUUUUCCAGUGACUUCCGCAUAAAUUUCCAGGCAGUUACUUUGAUGCUUUCCAUGGGUGCUUCAAUCGAACCAUGCUUCCAUGCAAUUAGGAUUGACAUGCACAACUACUACAACCACUAUGGAGGUCAUAUAAAAGGGAAAAUCACAUCAUAAUACUGGAAACCAAAGCAAUUAUGACCACUGCCUAAAUACAAACUCGAUUAAUAUCUAAUUGACUAGAUAUGCAGGCAGCAGCAGUAUAUGGGUUCUUAAAAAACUGCAUC